UUGCCACAAAGACGGCUGGAAAAGAGAAAAGUUAUUAAAAGCUGCUUUAUUAUAAAAUACCAUUAAAACAAGUAUUUCAAAUGUAUUAUUUUACAUGUCUAGAAAAGAUAGCACAGAAAGCAAGAUGGCCAGCUAAUCCUGUCUCUAUGAGCAUAGGAAAAAAUCCAGGACACAAAGUAAAUUCUGAACAGAGCUUACCUCUCUGCAGCAGGGCUUGACAAGCAAAGGGAGAGACUUGAGAGGGUUUUUUUACUUCAGUUAAUUGGUAGGAGUGAUGGAAUUAUGGAAUAUUGUGACCUUUUUUGUUUUUUUUUCUUUUUAGUAUUCUAUUCCUUUAUAUGAAAUUUUUUAAAGAAGUAAAUAUAUACAGUAUGCUUCAGCUCGUUCUAACCAAGAGGUGCCACUCUAGAUCAGUUUCUCUAGCAUUCAUCAGAAGACGAUUAAAUGCAGGCAAUCACUUCCUCAGCAGCACAUCUAAAAGCCCCAUUGUGCAACUCAACCCUUGAUGAAUUGCAAGCUCUUUGCAAGCGCCCAGACUUAGGAACUACUAGAUGGCCUAGGAGACUUAUCUGGAGGCACCUGUGCCAGCACCCCAUGUAUACGUAAGACUUCACCAGGGAGCUGGGAGACACUGCUCUGGGUAUGGAGCUUUUACCAGAGCUGCAAACGCAGCCUGUGCCCCUGUUUCGUUGGGGAAUUGCUUGUUUUCAAGGGUACCAUGGAGCUGGAGAGAGAAAAGUGGGGAAUAGAACAAGUUAAAACACCACAGACUUUGCUGUUCUUAUAGAGGUUCAGCAGCUUUUCUUGAAUUAAUGCCCUUUAGAUUGUUGUAAACCUUUGGUUAACUUCCAAAGUUUUGAAGAAAAUGAUUUUGAUAAUUUUCCAAGUAUUUUCAUUGUCAUCAUGGAGGAGUGCAUUUCCUUGGCUAUUCCAGAAGUCCUACCUCCCUUCUGAGAUUUUAUAAUGGUAUUUCUUAUGGUUAUCCCAAAUAUACUUGGCAAGUCGUCUUAUAAACCACCAAUAAUAGCCUCUUAAAAAUUCAAAAAUUACUCCUCUUGGCUAACAAAAUAAAUGCAAAUUAAUUUAAUAAUUGUUGAAGAAAUUAAAUUUUUUAAAAUUAAAAAAUUGCAAUGUUGAAAUUCUCAACCAUGCUUAUCCAGACCUUUUCCUAUACUACUAACUGCCCUGGGCUUAUCUUAAAUACUUCUCAGAAGAUUUACUUGUUUUACACCAGGAUAGGCAAAGUAUGGCCCACAGUGUAUUUUUGGACUGUCUGCAAGCACAGUUGCUAUAAUUUUUAAAAGGCUGAAAACUUUAAAUUUUUGUAAAUAUGCUCAUUAACUGUUUAUUAGGCUUCAUUAAUUUUAAAAUAUACAGAGACUAUCCUAUUCAACUAUAUUUGUAUCCUAUUUCUAAUUCUCCUAACAAUUAUAUACACUGGCAAAAACUCUUCAGAUGAUAUAUAAGGAAAAGGUCAAAUAUACUACCGAAUUCAUCCAGCUUUCCAAAGAUGCUCAAAAUCUUUCUGUGUCUCUCACUCCCUCCCUUAACCCACAUACCACAUCUGAAAAAAAAUGAUAUGGUGUAACGAUGCCAGUAUUCUAAAUGCUUGAAGGGCUUAUCACAUGCCCUUUCCAAGCUGUGACAGAAGCAUGUCCCUUGGACCCCGGCAUCCUGUCAAUCUCACCUCUGAAGGUGACCCAGUCUCAUACUUCACUGAAACAAAGACCAUUAGACGCCAGCACUCCCGACUUCUUUUAUCUCCACUUUAACAUUUCUCCAUAUAGUAAUCCUCACUUUUCUACUCCCUGUCAUCUCAGAAAAGGAAUUCUCUCUCCUCUUUUCCACAGUUAGCUUCUCAAAUUUGUGCCUUUAAUUCUACCCCUCCCAAAUAUUCCAAGACUUGCUCCACUAAUUAUUUCCUCUCUUGGAAUCUUAAUCUCAUCCUCUUCCCUUGAUCCCUCCCCUCAGCCUUUAAAACUCCUAGACCUUAAAACACUCUCUGUGAUCUGACAGCCCUUCAAACCAAUAUACUCCCCAUCUCUCUCCCCUGGUUCAAUGGCAAGAUCUUUGGCCAACUGCUUUCUACUCGGACCUUGCUAUUAUUUGCUACUAGGCACCCACAAACCGUUGCUUGUUAAACUGAUCUCCUUCAAGACUUAAGAAAAGCGCCAUGCGGCUCCCUCCCAGGGCUCUCCUGCCCUCUCCUCACCGAUGCCAAGAGUGGUCCUGCUGGAGAACUGCCGCGCCUGCAGUUCGUGCACCUUUUCCCGAAGCUGCGCCAGGAAAUUAUGGACGAACUGGAAGGGGCCGAGAAGAAGGGUCUUGGCCCCCAACUGUAGCUCCAAGCCUUUUUGUGCUUUCAGAUUUCGGAUCCUCCGCGUGGAGCACCUUGGGGCGCCCCUUGGCAGGUUCCCGCCGCAUAGGGCCGACUUUUCCACCUCUGGCUCCAGGGCGGGAAGAUUGUAGCGGCUUUGAGCUUACUACUUGUUUUCUUAUAAUCCCUGGCGGAGCUGGGUCAAUUUCAGGCACAGCCCAGCUCAGUCAGGCGAGGUCCAGAAAGGCCUGACUUGCCUGGCAGCCUCAACGGACUUGUCCCCGCAGCCCUUGCGGACCUCCUGGUCGUCAUGGCGACUGUGAAAUGUGGGGUGGGGAGCAUGCGUUCGAAGCCAUUUGCGCGGGCAGUCCCUGCGUGUCCCCCCACGUGCUCCCCAGCACUCGCAGGACCCCCGCCUCCGAGCUUCCCUGAGCGUGCAGCUUCCAGUGAGGGCAGCCCCACGCACAGCCCCCCACACCCUCCCCAACGCCUUCAGCCCCCGGUGCGCGUAGUCCCCAAGCCCACACGUGCACUCUCCACCUUGCGGCAGCUGCACGUACAGCCCCCCACACGCUCCCAGCCCCACUGGCGCAGAACCCAUCACCGCUCGCCCUUCACGCGCUUCACUGGGAGUGCAGCCCCCACCCCGAGCGCGCAGCUCCACGCAGCCUCUCCACACUCUCCCCAGCGCCUGCAGCACCCCCAGUGCGCACAGCUCUGCCAGUCGCUUCCCCGCGUGCCGCCCCUGCACCACUUCGGGCCAUAACCUUGCUGGCGACUAAGUCUGAAGAACUUCCCGUGAUUUAAUUCUUUUCUUCGAGUUUAGUCUUAGCUUUGACAUUUUAACCAAAAGGUUACACGUUAAUUUAUGGUAUGAGGUCACCACUUCUCCUAUUGUCCUUCUCAGUUUCUCCCCAACCUCUCCUAUUCCCUAUUUUAUAAGACAGGAGAAAAGGGAGAAAGCAAAAAGUUAGAAAGAAACAGAAGUAAGAUAAAUAGCUGGAGGACCUUGGCACCACCACCUGGCCCUGGUGGCUAAAAUAAUAAUAAUAUUAUUAACCCCUGACCAAAACUAUUGGUGUUAUGUGUAAAUUCCAGACACUGUAUGAGAAAGUACUGUAAAACUUUUUGUUCUGUUAGCUGAUGUAUGUAGCCCCCAGUCACGUUUUUCACGCUUACUUGAUCUAUUAUGACUUUUUCACGUAGACCCCUUAGAGUUGUAAGCCCUUAAAAGGCCUAGGAAUUUCUUUUUCGGGGAGCUCCGCUCUUAAGACACGAGUCUGCCGACGCUCCCGGCCGAAUAAAAAACCUCUUCCUUCUUU
rnacentral:lncRNA from 1 species